GGGUUGUAAAGCACUUUCAGUCAGGAGGAAAGGUUAGUAGUUAAUACUUGCUAGCUGUGACGUUACUGACAGAAGAAGCACCGGCUAACUCCGUGCCAGCAGCCGCGGUAAUACGGAGGGUGCGAGCGUUAAUCGGAAUUACUGGGCGUAAAGCGUACGCAGGCGGUUUGUUAAGCGAGAUGUGAAAGCCCCGGGCUCAACCUGGGAACUGCAUUUCGAACUGGCAAACUAGAGUGUGAUAGAGGGUGGUAGAAUUUCAGGUGUAGCGGUGAAAUGCGUAGAGAUCUGAAGGAAUACCGAUGGCGAAGGCAGCCACCUGGGUCAACACUGACGCUCAUGUACGAAAGCGUGGGGAGCAAACAGGAUUAGAUACCCUGGUAGUCCACGCCGUAAACGAUGUCUACUAGAAGCUCGGAACCUCGGUUCUGUUUUUCAAAGCUAACGCAUUAAGUAGACCGCCUGGGGAGUACGGCCGCAAGGUUAAAACUCAAAUGAAUUGACGGGGGCCCGCACAAGCGGUGGAGCAUGUGGUUUAAUUCGAUGCAACGCGAAGAACCUUACCUACACUUGACAUACAGAGAACUUACCAGAGAUGGUUUGGUGCCUUCGGGAAUUCUGAUACAGGUGCUGCAUGGCUG
rnacentral:rRNA from 1 species